CUCUCGGUUACGAAACACUUUAUAUUAAUACUGUGUUUAACUACCAUAGUAAUGUAUGACAUGCUGCUCAGUUAUUUGGGCAUACAAAAUCUAAGUCUCAAAUAUUAAAAUAUUACAACAACUACCUAGAAUUCAACUAUUUGAAUCGUUUUUUUCUUUUCUUUUUCAAUACUUAUUUUUGGAAGAUAUUUUUUUGAUCAAAUAAUUUUACUUGAAAAUCAUUAUAAUUAAAAACAGAGUCGCGGGAGGAUCAGAACAGCCACGACACUCUUCUGUCCAUACAUCCCCAGAGUAUAGAGAGAUGUCGAGCAAGGCGCAAACAAGCCAGACAGGCACUGCUGGAAAAUAACCUCCGCUCAGAUCACGGAAUCCAAGCGUUCGUAUGAAGUGCGUUCAACAUCAGUGACGGCAAUUAGCUGUCUCUAUUAAUGUAUGCUACUGUUGCACUAACUAAAUCAGUUUCUCUCAGUCUCAAACUACGGUUACUGUGAAGGCCCAGGUCUUACGGCGAAAGGGAAGCAUCAUAUAGGACCAGAUGGAGUUGGUGAAAUGAAAGAUGGAGUGUAGGUCAAUCCUCACAUGUAUCGAGGAGGAGGAGGAGGAAGAGGAGGGUGAUGAUGAUGAUGAAGCCCAUGACAUGGAAGAGGAUGAUGGGGACAGAGAGGAGACCCAAAAAGGAGGUGUAAAGGAGACAGUGGACCAAAUGGGGGAAGAAGACGAAGAAGAAAGUGGCAGAGUGGAAGGAGGGGGAGAAGAAGAUGAGGAAGACUCUGACUCUCCCUGUCUGACGCCAAGACCCUGGCGACUGCCUCGUGACUUCGACGUCGUCUUCCAAGAGACGCGCUAUGUGGACAAUGUCCAGAGUGAGUCUGGGUCAGAAGACGGCUCCCUCUGUACAGCCGAACCACAGCCCACCGCCUCUCCCCCCGAACCCUCUCCUUCAUCAGAACACACCCCUUCUUCAGAAAGUACCUCUCCACCCGAACACGGUCCUUCAUCAGAACACGCCUCUCCACCUGAUCAGACCUCUUCAUCCCAACACAGCCCUCCAUCAGGACACACCCCUUCUUCAGAAAGUACCUCUCCACCCGAACACGGUCCUUCAUCGGAACACGCCUCUCCACCCGAUCAGACCUCUUCAUCACAACACAGCCCUCCAUUAGGCCACAGCUCUCCACCCGAACACACCUCUCCAUCGGGAUACACCAGUCCUUCAGAACACACCCCGCCUCCACCCACACACUCCUCUCCAUCCGAACACACCCCAUCAUCAGAAUACACCUCUGCAUCAGACCACCCCCCUUCAUCAGAACACCCCCCCACCAGGACACAGCCUUUGGCCUCAACCGGGCAGACAGUGGAGCCAUGGACUCCCAAACAUGAAGGUCUACUCCUGGGCAGAGAGAGCGUGGCGGCGGUCAAGAGCAGAGCAGCCAAAGAAAGGCUCGAAGAGGAGGCGUUCAUCAGAUGAGGAUUUUCCUGGCUGGUUGCUGGAGCUCAUGUUUAGCAUUGAGGAGUCGACAAAACAUGUACUGUUCGUUGAAUAUGAACAUGCAAAGGCAUAACGGGUCGUUGCUUGUUUUCUGAACUUCUUUCAAUGGUGUGAUGAUGUUGUUUAUCGUGGGGCAUUUUCACUGGGAUGGUAGAGGUUUACUUUAAGCUCAAUUUAUUUUUGAUAUCUAACUUUAUUUUCCCCAGACAAGUCCCACAGACAAUCAAGUAUUUUUUCUUGAAGAAAACAACAAAAAAUGAAAGAAGCUAUGAUUUCUAAAUAAAAGUCCUAAAAAUUAAUGUGUUGCACAUCAGAGUGUUUUUUGACAUUUUUUAUGGUAGCUAUUCCUGAUUUGCCAAGUUAAAAGUUAGACCGAACUUUCUGAACUGACUAUUCAAACAUGACGACAACAGAGCCAGGCUCUUUUAAAGUCCUAUCUAAUACUACACCAAAGCAACAAUCAAUUACUACUGGCUGUCUUCACACAAACAUGUUGUGAUUGCGGUGCAGG
ensembl:lncRNA